GACGAACGCUCGUGGCGUGCUUAACACAUGCAAGUCGAACGGAAAGGCCCUGCUUUUGUGGGGUGCUCGAGUGGCGAACGGGUGAGUAACACGUGAGUAACCUGCCCUUGACUUUGGGAUAACUUCAGGAAACUGGGGCUAAUACCGGAUAGGAGCUCCUGCUGCAUGGUGGGGGUUGGAAAGUUUCGGCGGUUGGGGAUGGACUCGCGGCUUAUCAGCUUGUUGGUGGGGUAGUGGCUUACCAAGGCUUUGACGGGUAGCCGGCCUGAGAGGGUGACCGGCCACAUUGGGACUGAGAUACGGCCCAGACUCCUACGGGAGGCAGCAGUGGGGAAUAUUGCACAAUGGGCGGAAGCCUGAUGCAGCAACGCCGCGUGCGGGAUGACGGCCUUCGGGUUGUAAACCGCUUUCGCCUGUGACGAAGCGUGAGUGACGGUAAUGGGUAAAGAAGCACCGGCUAACUACGUGCCAGCAGCCGCGGUGAUACGUAGGGUGCGAGCGUUGUCCGGAUUUAUGGGCGUAAGGGCUCGUAGGUGGUUGAUCGCGUCGGAAGUGUAAUCUUGGGGCUUAACCCUGAGCGUGCUUUCGAUACGGGUUGACUUGAGGAAGGUAGGGGAGAAUGGAAUUCCUGGUGGAGCGGUGGAAUGCGCAGAUAUCAGGAGGAACACCAGUGGCGAAGGCGGUUCUCUGGGCCUUUCCUGACGCUGAGGAGCGAAAGCGUGGGGAGCGAACAGGCUUAGAUACCCUGGUAGUCCACGCUGUAAACGGUGGGUACUAGGUGUGGGGUCCAUUCCACGGGUUCCGUGCCGUAGCUAACGCUUUAAGUACCCCGCCUGGGGAGUACGGCCGCAAGGCUAAAACUCAAAGGAAUUGACGGGGCCCCGCACAAGCGGCGGAGCAUGCGGAUUAAUUCGAUGCAACGCGUAGAACCUUACCUGGGUUUGACAUGGAUCGGGAGUGCUCAGAGAUGGGUGUGCCUCUUUUGGGGUCGGUUCACAGGUGGUGCAUGGCUGUCGUCAGCUCGUGUCGUGAGAUGUUGGGUUAAGUCCCGCAACGAGCGCAACCCUUGUUCACUGUUGCCAGCACGUUAUGGUGGGGACUCAGUGGAGACCGCCGGGGUCAACUCGGAGGAAGGUGGGGAUGACGUCAAGUCAUCAUGCCCCUUAUGUCCAGGGCUUCACGCAUGCUACAAUGGCUGGUACAGAGAGUGGCGAGCCUGUGAGGGUGAGCGAAUCUCGGAAAGCCGGUCUCAGUUCGGAUUGGGGUCUGCAACUCGACCUCAUGAAGUCGGAGUCGCUAGUAAUCGCAGAUCAGCAACGCUGCGGUGAAUACGUUCCCGGG
rnacentral:rRNA from 1 species